GGAGGGAGAGCUCAGUGGUAGAGCACAUACUUAGAAUGCACAAGGUCCUGGGUUCAAUCCCCGGCACCUCCU
rnacentral:tRNA from 1 species